ACCAUAUUAGGACCGUCGGUCUACGGAGCAAUAUCACCCCGCUCGGUGGAAGGUCUUUCCCUCCGUCGU
rnacentral:pre_miRNA from 1 species